ensembl:lncRNA uncharacterized LOC115015170
GCAUCCUGCUAUAAUCAACAACAGGCACGCGGGGACUUCCUGCAGCCAAUCACAGCUCCGCUUCAACCAGUUUAAUAAAGUUCGUUUUUUUCCGCCGUUUCACUUCGUGUUUGUUUGGAGGAAACACUGCCUUGUUCUCAGUGCUAAAGAUGUGGGUGAACAAACCAGCUCCGGCUAUAUGCAACAAAGUGGGAGGCACGCGCAGAACGAGCCUCUUGUAAGGAAAAGAAGAUGUAUUUAUGGCGCUUCUCCAUCGCCAUAACGCUCGGCUUGGUGUGGUAUUUUUCAGACUGCGGUCGCUCUGUCACACAGUACUUCCUAUGUUUCCUCUUUUGUUUUUCUGCUCCACUGUUAUUCGGAAACCGUGGAAGAGAGAGCGGCACUCAGACUGAUGAAGAGACGAAGGAAAAUCCCACUCCAGGAAUCUGCUGAGGGACCGUUGUUUGGUGACCUGACAGAUGCAAAAAGCAGAGAGCAGGCUGAACUACUGGAUUCUCAGUAUCCACAUGUAAAGACGUCUCUACAACAAGUGUUCGAGUGCGCCUACGCCCAGCUGGUCCUGCCUUGGUACGCCGUUCCCGAGCUGUGCGAGCAGCAGCCUCUGCACCAGGUGCUCAGCAGGGAGUUCGACUUUGUAAUAGACAGAAUCAUUGAGAGAGCCAAAGACUUUGAUGUUUGCCAGGCGGUCGUGGGCUCAGUUCGUAUUUUGACCCAGUACUUACAUAAUGCGAAGCAGUCUGACAGAGAGCUGUUGUUCAGCUCCAGAGCAGAGGAGAUUGCAGGUCCUCCGAGAGUUUUCUGACGCUCUAGUACGUAACUUUUUCCACAAAUCUCUCUGGGGCCAUGAAGUCAACCGCUGUGCCUUAAAUGAGAUUGUUGCCUUAAAGGGGCUGGGUCUGUUGGUGACAUGGCUGUCAGACCCCGACAACCUGAACCAGCUGGUGGUGAACCAGCUGGACAGCGUGACCCCCAAAGGCUCUGUGGAGGAGCUGUGUGGAUCAGACCUGGAUCAAACCUCUCUGGCUUCACAUGAGGGUGAAGGCGAGGCCGAGGGCAGUGAAGUGAGCUUGGAGGGAGCAGGGAUUUCAACCAGCACCAGGAUCAAGGCCAAAAGAAAAGCUAACAAGUUAAAAGAAGGAUGGUCUAAAUUUGUGGACAAAGUAAAGUCUAAGAAGGCCAAGAAGAAGAAGAUGAAAAAGAUAGAGCAUGAGCUGAUUCUGAGGUUCAUGGCGAUCCAGAGCGACGUGUCCAAUGAGGACGAUGUCAGCAGCAGGGAGAGCUCCAUCUACAGCCAGCAGGACUCUGACAGGGAGGAUAGUGAUCUGGAGAACUACUUGACAAGCGUCCAAGAGGACAUGAUGGAAUUCAAGCUGUCGUAUGAGAUGUGGCGCGCUGGCAGCUGGGCCGUCAGCAUCCCUCAUGCCGACUGGUCUGAUGAGGAGCUAAUCUUCACCUUUCACCUGGAGGAGAAGGGCAGCCCUGAGAACCUACAGUGGGACAUCAGGAAGACCUACAUGGAUGUUCUAUACUUCCGCAACAGAUGGCAGGACUCAACCAGCCUGCCCUCCAUCCUGGUGCUGGAGGUGUCGGAUGUCAACGCUGAGGUCAAAGAAGAAGCCAGAGUAUCAGUGGAGCACUUCUUGCAGGAGUUGGUUUCUGAUAAUCUGAUCGGCCACACUCAACCGGUUUUUCAGUUCCUCUGCCCGCUUGACAAGCUGCUGAAUGAGGAUGAACAUUCUGGAGGCGUGUGGCGCCUUCUGAGCGGCCUGGCUUACUUCCUGACUCCAGGUCACGAGGAGGAGGAGAGCUCCAGCCCUCAGACAGAAGCCCCAAAAGAAAUCAUAACAUCAUCUCUACUUCCACAAUCGACAGCUCUGCUUUUAGAAACCCCUGGUGCCUCUACUGAGAGGGCUGGUGAUGUUGCUUCAAUCCCAACUAUUGUUAUCUCCCAACAUGAUUCUUCUUCAGCACCGCCGGAGGAAGCAGAAACAGAAAAUGAACCGCUGUCUGCUGCUAACUCAGACUCUUCAAAUGAAAACUGUUCCCAAGACAAAACGGAGGACUCUGAUAAUCCUUUAACCUCUCACUUUAAACUGAUUUUCAAAGGACUGACUCGAUCCAGGUCACAAGAGUCUCUGGUCUUGACAAAAACCACCAGUAAUGGAAACACGCCAGAUUUAGACGCCACGCCACACUGCAGCCAAAAUGGAGGCGAGCAGGGGGAGAGCUCAGAAGGACCGUCGUGGCUUAAUUUCAGUGCAAGGUCAAAUAAAAAGGAGAAAACAUGUUUCAUCAGAGCUAAAGGGAAGAACCAGGUGACUUCACCACGACGGGAGGACCCCCAGUGUCAGAGGAGCCAAGUCAACUGGGAGCAGCUGGAGGCGACCAAAGCCAUGUUCGAUCUGCUGAAAGAAAUAUCUGGAAACUCCAUCCUCAUAAACAUAUUCGAUGCCAUUUUGAAACCUGUUAUGCCCAUCUUGAAAAAGAAAGUGAACUCCUUCCUAAGCAAGAUGAACCCCACAGAAGUGCAGAUGGCUGCAUACAUCGACACCCUGCGGGACAAACAGUGGCCAGAUUUACAGCCAGCAGCACCUCCUCCUCCUCCUCCUCAUCCUCCUCGCACCGACGAGGAGAAGAACGAGACCAGGGAUCGAGCGCACAACCUAAUCAAUGCCAGAUAUUCAAACUAUCUUAUCCUGAAGAGGACGGACAUGGAGUCUGUUUUUAAUCUUUUCCAGGACGGAGAGGGAAACAAAACGCUGGUAUAUAUGCUCCUGUCAUUCCUAUUGAGGGAGUUUCUUCCCAAUGAGCAUUCCCUAAAUGUGAGCGCCGCUGCCCUCCAGAAAGUGACCAACUCCACCAGCUGAUCUGUGAAUCCUUUUUUUUUUUAGAAUAUGAAAUUAUUUAUUAAAUAUCCUGCCCCAGAAUAUUUGUGACCAUUUUUGUAUCAAUGUCAAACGUUCCUCUCUGUUGUUUAUACCUCAAACAUAUCAAAUGUACUGUGAACCCUGACUUCAAUGUGUGUGGCAUCAGAAACAUUCUUUGUGGGAGCCUUUAAUUGUAUUGUGAAACUCACAGGAGAAAGUAAACAAUAUUUACAGUUUGAAUUUCACCCUUCACGUUUUAAUACGAAAGAAUUAGAAAUAUUUUGUGUCACUUUGAGCACUUUUGUAUGGUGAGUUUGUUUUCUGAUUAAUUUGGCCUAAAGUUGUUUAUCAUAGAAUAUCCAACGAUUACCAAUCACCUAAAUCUGUCAGUGGACACGGCCACUAUCAAAAGAAACUGUUAUUGUAAAUAACUUGAAUUUAUUUCAAAUAAAAUAUUUUAAUAAAACCUUUUUCUGGUUAUAUUUCUGGCUUCUUGUUUUUCAGUGAGUUUAGAUAGUAAUAACACACUAAAUAAUAUAAAAUAAUAAUAAUAAGUUGUAUUUGUAAAGCGCCUUUCAAAGCUAAAAGCAAUCUCAAGGUGCUAAAUGUAAAUGAGUUGCUGAUGCCAGCAGCUUAUUUGCUCUGUAGCAAUAUUUGAGUAAAAUAUAUUUCAGACGAAAACAAGUUUGUCCACUAAGUG